UUAUUCUGGCGCCGAGUGUUUGUAAACAUUGGCAUUCUUAAAAACCAUGCGCAAAGUUUGUUUCUGACUCACUGGCGAGAUGAUCAACUCUGCAAUUUUUGUUUCGCAUCAGCCUCACCCUUAUCUAACAAAGAAUGGAAACUUGAAUAUUGCUGAAAAGAAGGGGAUGUUACCAUAGGUGUUUUUCUCCCUGUACUCAUCAGGACAAAUGCAAGAAUGCCAAAUUUCAAAUGAUGCUAGCAACUGACACCACUGGAGAAAAGGGUGCUGACUGGUUGGCAAGUCAACUCUGAUUGGCCAAGACUUUGCCAUGGAGAAACCAACAGGGAAUUAAAGACUCCACAGGAUUCUGGGUAAUUCAAAAAAAGGUUCAAAGCUUGAACACCUUUUAGUUUGCAGAGAACAGAACCCUGCAGGGAAAACCUUCUUGCAUUGCUGAAAGGAAGUCCUUUGCAUCAUAUUGAUAACUCUGCCAAGUUCACAUUAGUUCAGUACUUUGCAAACAGACUCUAAUAAAGAUGGAACAAAAACAAAGUUGCUGGAAAAGCUCAGCAGGUCUGGCAGCAUCAGUGAAGGAGAAAACAGAGUUAACGUUUCGGGUCCGGUGACCCUUCCUCAGAACUCUAAUAAAGAUGGCACCUUUCCCAGUU